UACGGAGGGUGCGAGCGUUGUCCGGAUUUAUUGGGUUUAAAGGGUGCGUAGGCGGCCUGAUAAGUCCGGGGUGAAAGCCCGCUGCUCAACAGCGGAACUGCCCUGGAUACUGUGAGGCUUGAGUACAGACGAGGUUGGCGGAAUGGACCGAGUAGCGGUGAAAUGCAUAGAUACGGUCCAGAACCCCGAUUGCGAAGGCAGCUGACUAGGCUGUUACUGACGCUGAGGCACGAAAGCGUGGGGAGCGAACAGG
rnacentral:rRNA from 1 species